rnacentral:rRNA from 1 species
CAGUCGCCGCGGUAAUACGUAGGUGGCAAGCGUUGUCCGGAAUUAUUGGGCGUAAAGGGCUCGCAGGCGGUUUCUUAAGUCUGAUGUGAAAGCCCCCGGCUCAACCGGGGAGGGUCAUUGGAAACUGGGAAACUUGAGUGCAGAAGAGGAGAGUGGAAUUCCACGUGUAGCGGUGAAAUGCGUAGAGAUGUGGAGGAACACCAGUGGCGAAGGCGACUCUCUGGUCUGUAACUGACGCUGAGGAGCGAAAGCGUGGGGAGCGAACAGGAUUAGAUACCCCUGUAGUCCCUGUCUCUUAUAA